UCGGGCUCAUAAAUAAUUGUGACCUACCAUAGUAAUGUGGCAUGGAAAAACUCUCUAAAUUGUCUGGAAACCCCACUCGCCUAUCAGCGAAGGGCAAUCAGCAGCGAAACCUUAAGCUCAUCGAAAGGGACGUUCAGAGACUAUAAUGGGAGCACCCGUAACCGUAACAAAAGUUGGGUGAUGGUAUAGUCCGUCACUGCAAGUAAUUGCAGA
rnacentral:ncRNA from 1 species